CGGAGCGUGGCGCAGUUGGCUAGCGUACUUGCAUGGGGUGCAAGAGGUCGCAAGUUCAAGUCUUGUCGCUCCGACCA
rnacentral:tRNA from 1 species